rnacentral:tRNA from 1 species
GUCCCUGGAGUGUGUUGGACAGCACGGUAGUUUCCGAAGCUGCAAGGCCAGGUUCGAUUCCUGGCAGGGAUA